rnacentral:rRNA from 1 species
UAACCCUGGGAAACUGGGGCUAAUACCGGAUAGGCAAUUAUUCCUGCAAUGGUUUUUUGUUUAAAUGUUUUUUCGCCUAAGGAUGGGUCUGCGGCCGAUUAGGUAGUUGGUUAGGUAAUGGCUUACCAAGCCGUUGAUCGGUACGGGUUGUGAGAGCAAGAGCCCGGAGAUGGAACCUGAGACAAGGUUCCAGGCCCUACGGGGUGCAGCAGGCGCGAAACCUCCGCAAUGUGAGAAAUCGCGACGGGGGGAUCCCAAGUGCCAUUCUUAACGGGAUGGCUUUUCAUUAGUGUAAAGAGCUUUUGGAAUAAGAGCUGGGCAAGACCGGUGCCAGCCGCCGCGGUAACACCGGCAGCUCUAGUGGUAACAAUUUUUAUUGGGCCUAAAGCGUCCGUAGCCGGUUUAAUAAGUCUCUGGUGAAAUCCUGUAGCUUAACUGUGGGAAUUGCUGGAGAUACUAUUAGACUUGAGACCGGGAGAGGUUAGAGGUACUCCCAGGGUAGAGGUGAAAUUCUGUAAUCCUGGGAGGACCGCCUGUUGCGAAGGCGUCUAACUGGAACGGUUCUGACGGUGAGGGACGAAAGUUAGGGGCGCGAACCAGAUUAGAUACCCGGGUAGUCCUAACUGUAGACGAUGCGGACUUGGUGUUGGGGUGGCUUUGAGCUGCUCCAGUGCCGAAGGGGAGCUGUUAAGUCCGCCGCCUGGGAAGUACGGUCGCAAGACUGAAACUUAA